UUUAUUUGAGAGUUUGAUCCUGGCUCAGGAUGAACGCUGGCGGCGUGCCUAACACAUGCAAGUUGAGCGAUUUACUUCGGUAAAGAGCGGCGGACGGGUGAGUAACGCGUGGGUAACCUACCCUGUACACACGGAUAACAUACCGAAAGGUAUGCUAAUACGGGAUAAUAUAUUUGAGAGGCAUCUCUUAAAUAUCAAAGGUGAGCCAGUACAGGAUGGACCCGCGUCUGAUUAGCUAGUUGGUAAGGUAACGGCUUACCAAGGCGACGAUCAGUAGCCGACCUGAGAGGGUGAUCGGCCACAUUGGAACUG
rnacentral:rRNA from 1 species